rnacentral:rRNA from 1 species
UAAGGUAAUCUGAUUAAUACUGCAAGUCGAGCGGACAGAAGGGAGCUUGCUCCCGGAUGUUAGCGGCGGACGGGUGAGUAACACGUGGGUAACCUGCCUGUAAGACUGGGAUAACUCCGGGAAACCGGAGCUAAUACCGGAUAGUUCCUUGAACCGCAUGGUUCAAGGAUGAAAGACGGUUUCGGCUGUCACUUACAGAUGGACCCGCGGCGCAUUAGCUAGUUGGUGGGGUAAUGGCUCACCAAGGCGACGAUGCGUAGCCGACCUGAGAGGGUGAUCGGCCACACUGGGACUGAGACACGGCCCAGACUCCUACGGGAGGCAGCAGUAGGGAAUCUUCCGCAAUGGACGAAAGUCUGACGGAGCAACGCCGCGUGAGUGAUGAAGGUUUUCGGAUCGUAAAGCUCUGUUGUUAGGGAAGAACAAGUGCGAGAGUAACUGCUCGCACCUUGACGGUACCUAACCAGAAAGCCACGGCUAACUACGUGCCAGCAGCCGCGGUAAUACGUAGGUGGCAAGCGUUGUCCGGAAUUAUUGGGCGUAAAGGGCUCGCAGGCGGUUUCUUAAGUCUGAUGUGAAAGCCCCCGGCUCAACCGGGGAGGGUCAUUGGAAACUGGGAAACUUGAGUGCAGAAGAGGAGAGUGGAAUUCCACGUGUAGCGGUGAAAUGCGUAGAGAUGUGGAGGAACACCAGUGGCGAAGGCGACUCUCUGGUCUGUAACUGACGCUGAGGAGCGAAAGCGUGGGGAGCGAACAGGAUUAGAUACCCUGGGUAGUCCACGCCGUAACGAUGAGUGCUAAGUGUUAGGGGGUUUCCCGCCCCUUAG